rnacentral:rRNA from 1 species
GAUGAACGCUGGCGGCGUGCCUAAUACAUGCAAGUCGAGCGAACAGACGAGGAGCUUGCUCCUCUGACGUUAGCGGCGGACGGGUGAGUAACACAUGGAUAACCUACCUAUAAGACUGGGAUAACUUCGGGAAACCGGAGCUAAUACCGGAUAAUAUGUUGAAUCGCAUGGUUCAACAGUGAAAGACGGUCUUGCUGUCACUUAUAGAUGGAUCCGCGCCGCAUUAGCUAGUUGGUAAGGUAACGGCUUACCAAGGCAACGAUGCGUAGCCGACCUGAGAGGGUGAUCGGCCACACUGGAACUGAGACACGGUCCAGACUCCUACGGGAGGCAGCAGUAGGGAAUCUUCCGCAAUGGGCGAAAGCCUGACGGAGCAACGCCGCGUGAGUGAAGAAGGUCUUCGGAUCGUAAAACUCUGUUAUUAGGGAAGAACAAAUGUGUAAGUAACUAUGCACGUCUUGACGGUACCUAAUCAGAAAGCCACGGCUAACUACGUG